UGAGCUGCUGCAGUACUCCACCUAUUGC
rnacentral:sRNA from 1 species